rnacentral:rRNA from 1 species
CCAUAAUUACAUGCAAAGUCGAACGGAAAUUUUCGGAUUUUAGUGGCGAACGGGUGAGUAACACGUAAGCAACCUGCCUUUAAGACGAGGAUAACAAUUGGAAACAGUUGCUAAGACUGGAUAGGAAAUAAAAAGGCAUCUUUUUAUUUUUAAAAGACCUUUUUCGGAAGGUAUGCUUAAAGAGGGGCUUGCGUCACAUUAGUUAGUUGGCAGGGUAAAGGCCUACCAAGACUAUGAUGUGUAGCUGGACUGAGAGGUUGAACAGCCACAUUGGGACUGAGACACGGCCCAAACUCCUACGGGAGGCAGCAGUAGGGAAUUUUCGGCAAUGGAGGAAACUCUGACCGAGCAACGCCGCGUGAACGAUGAAGUAUUUCGGUAUGUAAAGUUCUUUUAUUGAAGAAGAAAAAAUAGUGGAAAAACUAUCUUGACGAUAUUCAAUGAAUAAGCCCCGGCAAACUAUGUGCCAGCAGCCGCGGUAAUACAUAGGGGGCGAGCGUUAUCCGGAAUUAUUGGGCGUAAAGGGUGCGUAGGCGGUUUAAUAAGUCUAUAGUUUAAUUUCAGUGCUUAACAAUGAGUCCUGCUAUAGAAACUAUUAGACGUGUAGAAUGAGAUAGAGGCAAGUGGGAAAUUCUCCAAUGUGUGAGCGGCGUUAAAAUUGCGCGUAAAAUAUAUUGGAGGAACACUCAGAGGCGCUAAGGCCGGCUUGCUAGGGUUCUUUACUGUACCGCUGAAGGCACGAAAGCGUGGGGGAGCAAACAGGGAUUAGGAUACCCUGGUAGGUCCCACGCCCGUAACGAUGAGGUAAUAAGUGUCGGGGAUUUACUCGGGUACUGAAAGUUAACACAUUAAAGUACUCCGCCCUGGAGUUAGUACGUACGCAAGUAUGAAAACUUAAAGGAAAUUGACGGGACUCCGCACAAGGCGGUGGAUCCAUGUUGUUUAAUUCGAAGGAUACACGAAAAACCCUUACCAGGUCUUUGACAUACUCUGCAAAGCUAUAGCAAUAUAGUGGAGGUUAUCAGGGAUACAGGUGGUGCAUGGUUGUCGUCAGCUCGUGUCGUGAGAUGUUAGGUUAAGUCCUAAAACGAGCGCAACCCUUUGUCAUUAGUUGCCAGCAUGUCAUGAUGGGCACUUUAAUGAGACUGCCAAUGAAAAAUUGGAGGAAGGUGAGGAUCACGUCAAAUCAUCAUGCCCCUUAUGAUCUGGGCUACAAACGUGAUACAAUGGCUGUUACAAAGAGUAGCUGAAACGCAAGUUUAUAGCCAAUCUCAUAAAAGCAGUCUCAGUUCGGAUUGAAGUCUGCAACUCGACUUCAUGAAGUUGGAAUCGCUAGUAAUCGCGAAUCAGCAUGUCGCGGUGAAUACGUUCUCGGGGUUUGUACACACCGCCCGUCAAACCACGAAAGUUGGUAAUACUCAAAAACGGUAGCCUAACUUCUUCGGAAGAGGGAACCGUCUAAGGUAGGAUCGAUGAUUGGGGUUAAGUCGUAACAAGGUAUCCCUACCGGAAGGUGGGGAUGGAUCACCUCCUUUCUAAGGAAUAAUUUUUUAAAUAUUCAUCUUCAGUUUUGAAAGACUUAGUUCUUAUAAGUUUUUCUUUUUUAAGGAAAAGAAAAUGGGCCUAUAGCUCAGUUGGUUAGAGCACACGCCUGAUAAGCGUGAGGUCGAUGGUUCAAGUCCAUUUAGGCCCACCAACUGAAAAAAAGGUCUUUUUUCUAAUUCUUAAAAAAAAAGUUCUUUGAAAAGUAGAUAAACAAAGUAUUUUUUAAAAAUCAAAGAAUCA